GUGCUCAUUUCGGCAACAUGUAUACUAAAAUUGGAGCAAUCCCGGAAAGAUUCGCAUGGCCCCUGUGCAAGGAGGACUCGUGAAGCGUUUCAUAUUUCU
ensembl:snRNA RNU6-765P RNA, U6 small nuclear 765, pseudogene